CUUUUAUCAUGCAGAUUGGCCACAUAGAGGUUUUGCUGCCACGGGGAGCUCUAUCAUGGAAGCAAAAAAGUUGGAGAUGUUUGAAGUUGGACCCUGUAACUACGCCUACCAGAUGGGUUUCUCAAUAGGGCGGAGGUUUUCUAAUGAGAUAAGAAGCAGGUUAUCCAGAGAUCUCAUUCUUCAAAAUCAGCUACUUCCUUUCGCUCAAACAUUAGAGUCACAACCAUUGAUUAGAUCUCUCAUAGACAACAACAGAAAGAAAUUUCCAAGAUAUUGGGAUGAGCUAAUAGGGACUGCAGAAGGAAGUGGGGUCCCUGUUCUUGAUGUGAUACUAAUCAACUUCAGGAAGGAGAUUCUUCCUUUUCUUCCAAAAACAGAAACAAAUUCUAAGGUUGACACUUCAGAUGACUGUUCUGAUGUUCUCGUUGUUAGCGAUAGCAUGGCCAUCGCAGCUCAUAAUGAGGAUGCAAAUGUUGCUCUAGUCGGCCACACCUAUCUAAUCAGGGCAACUUUGUCGAACGGACAAUCCUUCGUUGGUUAUACGUAUGCUGGAGAACUUCCAAGCUGUGCAUUUGGGUUCAACACUCAUGGACUGGUAAUAAGUCUUUCAUUUUACCAUGGACUUGUUGGGGGAAGGUUCAGGACUGAAUUAUACUUUGCUGAUAUGGUCAAACACACCAGGGUUCUAGACCUGACCCACUGGGCAUCCAUGAUCAAAAGUAGAACUUACAAUAUAUCCAUCAUUAGAAAGCUUGGACCUUGCACGUUAAUUCAUGAGGAAAAAUCCUACUGCAUUUGAUGUUUUCACUUUAUUUAAUUGGUUUUAAGUACAACUUACAGAAGUUCAGAAAUGGAAUUUUUGAAGUACAACUUCCACUCCGAAUCCUAUCAGGCAUUUACACUGAACUCAGUACCACCAUCUGAAGGUGAGAUCGUGGCUGGUGGAAUUGGACGAAACUUUAUCUCACGGGACCUCCUUGAAGCAAACAGCAUUGAUGAUGCAUUGAAGGUAAGAUCUUGCAGUCUUUAACUUCUUUGGGAUAUAUUAGAGUUGAUCAUGGAGUUAAUAACUCGGAUUCUCUCUUCAGAGAAUACAUGCAUCAGAAGUUUCUGUAGGGCACAGUUAUAAUCUCAUAGAUACAAGGUCACGCAAGAUUCUGAAUGUUGAAACUGCAUCAAGAAAUCGAGUUUCAGUUUGUGAGGUCAGAGGAACACCGUUCUUCCAUGCAAAUAUGUAUCUUCAUCUUCAAGUUGAGCAGGUAAAUAAUUCCACUCAGAGAACAAGGUUAAGUCAAUUUUGAGCAACAGAUCCCUCCUGAAUUAAGGCAACUUUCCUCACCACAUUAAAGAUAGAGCCAGAAACAAAAUUGGUAAUAAAAUACUUGCUCAAACUAUAUCCUUUUUGAGGUGGUGAAUCUCAAUUGGUUAACAUGAAACAGAAGCAUGUUGGCUUUUUCACCAAAUGCAAGCUCAUAAAACAAUUUAACACGGAUUUUCAAUUAGUUAUUUUCAUCAAGUAAAAUCGUUAGCUUGAUGCAAAGGUCCAAGAUGACAACUCAACAAGCAGGCAAGAAAGAGCAACUGUACUACCAAAAGGAACAAAAGAUGAUUUCCUGUCACUUCUUGGCGAUAUGGAUGACAAGAGAUACCCAAUUUACAUGACAGGUACUCAGGUAGUCGAUAAAAUAUUAUGAACACUUCUCAUCUUCAAUAGUUUAUACUUACCAUAUUGGCUAUAUUUUAGGUCCAACCCUAUACACGCUAUGCACGGCUCUGAUAGAUCUGGAUGAUCAAACACUAACAAUUAUUGAGGGAAAUCCAAAGAAUGGGAAAGUUUCCUACGUAUUCUCCACGUCUGAAAGAGAGUUGAACACAUCACCAUAAGAGCUGCCAGCAGCCACUCCACUGGUUGUUAUGGAAAAUAACUUUAAUCUCUAUACAGGUUCAUAGAGGCCCAAUACAUGACCAUCCAUACAUCGCAUGGCUGCAACCUGAUAGAAACAAUAUGUAUGAUAUCAGUAGACCUACUAUAAUUAGACUCAGAGAGAUUUUUUCACAUGUCUUGAUAUUAAGCUGAUUUACCUUUCCAUGGAUUUCAUACUUGAUUGGGCCAUCUAGUUCAGCACCCAAGGCCAUUAGUUUUGUCACUGUACUGUUAAUAUCAGUCACCGUAAAUGAUAGCAUAGAAGAAUAUCCCUUCUGCACAAUGUGGUCAUUGGGAGAAUGCAUGAGGGCGAGCUUAACAGAGCCGGAUUGAAGUUCGGCCCAGCGAAGAGUGCACACAUUUACUGAAAAGUCCAAUCCUUCGGAGUAGAAACGAGCUGCUUUAGGCACGUCCUUAUGUAACUGCAAUAUCCACCUAAAAGAAACAGCUGCCAUCUUUCUCCCUCUCUAUAUGUCCUUCAAUAGCUGAUUACCCUUUGGUUCUCCUCGGUUUUGGGCUGGUGGCGGAGAAGUGACGAGGAGUUUUGAGAGAGAAGGAAUCGGCAAGGGCAGACCUAAAGGAAGG
rnacentral:misc_RNA from 1 species